rnacentral:rRNA from 1 species
UACGGGGGGGGCAAGCGUUGUUCGGAAUUACUGGGCGUAAAGGGCUUGUAGGUGGCCAACUAAGUCAGACGUGAAAUCCCUCGGCUUAACCGGGGAACUGCGUCUGAUACUGGAUGGCUAGAGAUUGGGAGAGGGAUGCGGAAUUCCAGGUGUAGCGGUGAAAUGCGCAGAUAUCAGGAGGAACACCAAUGGCGAAGGCAGCUCGCUGGGACGUGACUGACGCUGAGACGCGAAAGCGUGGGGAGCAAACAGG